UCGUUGCUCUCAUUGUCCUCGCCUCCCUAAAGAUCCAGUUCAUCUCAAGGUUUUAUUUGUUGCAUGUUUGCCUGCUCCUCUAUCAAUUUGCGUCUCACCAGCACUGCUUCUUGAUGGGGAUGGGGCACCGCGUCGUCGACGGCUGCAGCUGCCGCAUGUCACGAAUCGGAGCUGCUUUGUUGUGGCCUGACGAUGACGGGACCUGUCGACGUGCUGGACUGCAGUUUCUGAGGAUGGGGAAGGGCGCAAGGAGAUCGGAGCAGGAUGGAUCGUCGGUGAGGGUGGAGUCGAGGCUGAGGAGCCGCGGAUGCGCCCAGGGGUGAAAUAGAGGAGAGUGCUACGGACAUCUGAAUUUAAAU
rnacentral:lncRNA from 1 species